rnacentral:rRNA from 1 species
CCCUUAGAUGUUCUGGGCUGCACACGCGCUACACUGAAGGGAUCAGCGUGUUCUUUUCCUGGUCCGAAAGGAUCGGGUAACCCGCUGAACCCCCUUCGUGGUAGGGAUCGGAGCUUGCAAUUAUUCUCCGUGAACCAGGAAUUCCCAGUAAGCGCAAGUCAUAAGCUUGCGUUGAUUACGUCCCUGCCCUUUGUACACACCGCCCGUCGCUACUACCGAUUGGACGUUUUAGUGAGGAUUUUGGACUGAGCCAAUGGUGGUUCACACCACUGUUGUGCAUGGAAAGAUCUCCAAACUUGAGCGUCUAGAGGAAGUAAAAGUCGUAACA